UCGGCAGCUCUGGGGUCCCUCUGCUCGCAGCCGCAGCAGCGCCGCCUGCGCCACUCGGCGGAGACGGAGACCAGCGGCGGUGACGCGCGGACCGGGAGCGACUGCCGAGCAGCCGAGCGGCUGGGGACGCACGCAGGGCAGCCGCUUUGAAUAACAUGAAGAAGAAGAGUGGGAGACAAGAGGAAAGGUAAGGUUGAAAGAAGGCAAGAGGAAAGGAGGGAAGUAGGAAGAAACUCCAGCAAUAACCAACACAAUAAAUUGUAUCCUGGACCACCUCGA